UACAGAGGUGGCAAGCGUUGUUCGGAAUUACUGGGCGUAAAGGGCGCGUAGGUGGCCUUUUGAGUCAGACGUGAAAUCCCCCGGCUUAACCUGGGAACUGCGUCUGAUACUGGAAGGCUUGAGUUCGGGAGAGGGAUGUGGAAUUCCAGGUGUAGCGGUGAAAUGCGUAGAUAUCGAGAGGAACACCGGUGGCGAAGGCGGCCAACUGGACGAAUACUGACGCUGAGACUCGAAAGCGUGGGGAGCAAACCGG
rnacentral:rRNA from 1 species